rnacentral:lncRNA from 1 species
UGGUCAUCUCUGACCUACAAACUGCCUCUCAGAAACCCCAGAAAUGUGAAUUUCCUCAUCUGUGGUUGAGUUACCUGGGGAGCAUUAGCAGAGUCCGCUGACCUGACCCUAAGAUGGGAAGUUUAUUUCCAGGCCUGGCUCAACCGAGUGCCCUCUGCUGCCAGCCAUCCACGCUCUCUUCACCUGCCUGGGCUCACAGCUCUAGGAGGGGCUGGCUGGCCGACACCCACCCAGAGUGCAAGAUCAUCCAACAAGAAACCAGAGCUUUCAAGACGAAGGACAGAAACGUUAUCUGUAUUUCAGGGGUAGUUUUUGCUUUCCCAUACAAGCACACGGGUACUGGCAUGAGAACUACUUUGGAUUUCAGAUUUUCCUCUUCCUCCUUUAAAAGCCCCUGUCCCUGAAGAUGAACGAUGCCCUAUCUAUCUCGAAGAAUUCCACUACUUAAUAGCCUUGCUCCUGGAAAUUUCGGAAAGAUUCCCACCCCCACCCACCCCCCAUUUUUGUGGAAAUCUCCAAGGCUGACGUAUUUCUACAGAGCUCUUGACUAAUUAACAGCCAUAACUCAUAGAAAUAAGGAAAACAAACACUGACGGAUUGAGCCAAGAGUUAUCCCCCAGUUUCAAAUAAUUGAGUCACUGCAGAAGAAACAGUAGUUGGGGAAAAAAAAACACUCAAAGGGUCCCAAAGUAGAGGACUGGGACCCUGAACUUGGGUUUAUCAGGUGCCCACUUUGUACGCAUCACAGCCCUGAGAGACUUUCAUUCAUCCACAGCUGCCGCUGCUGCGCAUGCCCAGCUCAGGGAACGAUCUGACCUCAAAGGUCAAGUCAGACAACUAGAGAGCACCUGCUGAAUCUUCCUUCCAUCAUGGCUUCCAGGAGAAGAGCAAGCCCUUGACUUGAACAAGAUGUUGACCGGAACCGCCUUGAGGCAAGCUCAUGAGGUGGCAAGAGCCUUGGGUAGAGGCAGAUGUGGCUUCAAAUCAAAUUCCCAAGAGCAAGUGCAGAGUGGUCGGUGCCUCCCUGGCUCAAAUGUCCUGGGACAGUGGCCUCCGUUCUGGGGCUGCACCUCAGGUUUCGGAGACAGAGCAGCCACAGAAAGCAGCCUGCUUUAUCGGCAGCCUGCACAGCUCUCCAUUGCCAUGGCCCCUCACCCUGGCAUUCCGUGCCUCCCAGGGGGGCAGAUAAUCCCACAAAGGGCCUCGUGCCAGAGUCUGGACACUGGAAAGUGCUUUCUCCAGCCUGGAGUCUUUGGGUUUGCUGGAAUCUUCUUACUGGGCCCCAGGGUUCAGAUCGAAUAUCCCUUUGAAAGGGUCAGAGGCAACCCCCGUGCUCUGCUUGGUCUGUCUGACACCAGAUCUAGCGGUCUAUGAUUGAGGAGGACAGCCCCCCUCGACAAACCAGCCUCCCCAAGACCAUGGUCCCUGUAAUGAGAGGAGGAAAAAAGGAGGGAAAGGCCCGUAUCAUGUCCCAACAAAUGCCAACACCUUCUCCCUCAGGAAGCUCCUCUUGCUCUGUCCACAGCCUCGCGGGUAUAGAGACCCUGGGAAUGGCUGACCCUCCCUGAACAAUAACCCUGUACAUUUGACAGAAUGGUCUCCCGCAUCAGGUUCACGCCAUUGUGUCUCUGUAAGGUACUCUGAGCAUUAUGUGCAUGGCUGUGCCUUGCAUUCGUCACAGUAGUGAAUGCAUGUGCUGGCAUGUGUCUCACAUGUACAAGCAUUCACAAGUGUGCACAAGUGUGAACACAAACUGACUGCCAAGGAGAUAGUAAGCCUGACACACAUGACACAAGCCCAGGAGGGAGACUGGAGGGACAGAGGCAACACCAGCAAAACAUACCUCCUGAGCCCUUGGAACACAGAUGACAAGUGACCCCUGAAGGAAGGAUGCAGGCCUAGAGCUUUGGGCCCUGCUCCUCCUCUCAGGGAUGCUAAAGGCCACCUCCUUUCUGACUCAGUGGUAUCUGCCCUGGUACCGGGUGUCCCCGAGAAACUGCUGUACCUCAGCAAAAGGCUGACACGGUACCCAUGGUCUUCUGUGGAAGCAUGAAGAACCUUGUCUGGGAUGGAUCCCAAUCCAACAGUGAUGCCUUUCCUGCCAGCCCCACACUCAUGCCAACUGUCCACAGCAUGAAUGGUGGCCUUCCAAUGUCUCCUUCCAUGCCAGAGCCGAGCUAACACAGGCACAGGACAUUGGGUUUCUAAGCAUCAGCCAGCAGAUCACCCCUCAUGGGAUGGUUCUGGAGACUCAGUGUGUCUCUGUUCUUUGAACUCUACUCACCAAGUGCUCUUGCACAUGUGUGUUAGCAUGGACGUGAAAUUCAGGGAGGUACCCCAAUUCUGUCUACCCACAUGCAUACACACAUAUACAGAGUCACAGAGUCAGUCACACACAGACACAUGCAAAUACACACACACUCACACCAACACACACACAGUCAUACACUCAUGCUGUCAAACAAAUACACACUCACACAAACACACACAUAGUCACAUACACAGACAGUCAAACACAUAUAGUCACACACUCACACAAACACUCAUACGCAGUCUCACACACACAGUCAUACACAUAUACACUCUCACACAAACACUCUCAGACACUCACACUCUCUCACACACACAAACUCACACAGUCAGACAAACACACACAGUCACAGUCUCAUAUACACACAGACACACAGACACACACAUACCUCCCCUUAGCCAAAGAGUGUUCCAGAAAGCCAAAAUAGCUACUAACAAUGACAACCUGGCACCCGAGGACAAGCACUGAUCAAGUGUUCUGGCCAUUACCACAGCAGGCAGGGCCUAGCCAGGCUCUGUCUGAGCCAAGUGCUAUGCAGGCCUCUGCAGCCUCUUCCAUGAUUCCUCUGUAUUGUUCAGAUAGGUCAUACCCCAGGCAGAGAUGAGCAUCUGCUCCUAGGGAAGAGGAAAGAAGAGGGUACGAACGUCACUUCUAUGGAGUACUGGGGCACCAGCUCAUUCACACACACCCUCUGCCCUGGUGCCUCUCGAUGCUAGAGUAAGGGCAGAGAUGGUGAGUCUGAG